GGCGAUUCUACCACGGUGCUCGCCGCGCGUCGUGGUCUUUCGCGUAUUGUAAUUUCAACACGAGCGGGGUCAAAUCCUUUGCAGACGACUUAGCUGUGCGAAACGGUCAUGUAAGCAGUAGAGUAGCCUUCGUUGUUACGAUCUGCUGAGGGAAAGCCGUCCUUCGCCUCCGAUUUCCCCAAUGGGUUCUCCGGAUUUCUGGAGACUUGUAGGGGUUGUGGGUUUUUUUCGAUGUGUCGUCUCCGAACGAGCGGUGCAGGGUAGUCGAGUUAGACUUGGUGGACUUCGAUUCCGUCGAGUCUGGCUGGCACGAUCGUGUGCGGUUGUGUGUUGGACGGUGCAGGGUAGGCUGCUUGGACAUGGUCGGUUCGAGGAUCGAUUCGAGGGCCGGCUUGUCUAUGUUGUAUGAUGUUUGCGGUCUAGGGUAUGCUGGAUUGUCUUAGUCCAAUUU
rnacentral:rRNA from 1 species